GUUGAAACCAUGAUAUACCAUGAUAGUGAAGUGCCCGAAAUUGGUAUGCUUUGUUUAUUGGAUGUGUGGUGCAUUGGCACAGAAAUCUGUUGGUGGAUAAUGAGUUGCAUAUAUUUUACAUAAUUAUAAAUAUGGCAUCAAAAUGUUGAAAAUCUGAUUUCCCCCAAGCUGAUCAUUGUCUGCAGCCAGCUCUGAUUGUAGUGGAAUGAAACAGGCAGGGAGAGUGAGUGAGCUCGUUUAUGGUGGUCGGCGAACCCCCAACCUUCUGGCCCGUGGCCCUGUGUGGCAUCGAUUGUGCCACAAAAGCAUGCUGAAGUUGCAAAGUUGAUAUCCACGUUUCUAAACACAGGGUAGUAGACAGCUGGUGACAUCCUGAAAGAGAUCGCCGUCCGACAAACUGCUAUCAGCUAAUGACUACAUGGCCACACCAGCCAGAGGGAGGAGCCACGGCGUGCCUGGCUCUAUUCACACCAGCCAGAGGGAGGAGCCACGGCGUGCCUGGCUCUAUUCACACCAGCCAGAGGGAGGAGCCACGGCGUGCCUGGCUCUAUUCACACCAGCCAGAGGGAGGAGCCACGGCGUGCCUGGCUCUAUUCACACCAGCCAGAGGGAGGAGCCACGUCGUGCCUGGCUCUAUUCACACCAGCCAGAGGGAGGAGCCACGGCGUGCCAGGCUCUAUUCACACCAGCCAGAGGGAGGAGCCACGGCGUGCCUGGCUCUAUUCACACCAGCCAGAGGGAGGAGCCACGGCGUGCCUGGCUCUAUUCACACCAGCCAGAGGGAGGAGCCACGGCGUGCCUGGCUCUAUUCACACCAGCCAGAGG
rnacentral:lncRNA from 1 species